rnacentral:rRNA from 1 species
UGUAAGACUGGGAUAACUCCGGGAAACCGGGGCUAAUACCGGAUGCUUGUUUGAACCGCAUGGUUCAAACAUAAAAGGUGGCUUCGGCUACCACUUACAGAUGGACCCGCGGCGCAUUAGCUAGUUGGUGAGGUAACGGCUCACCAAGGCGACGAUGCGUAGCCGACCUGAGAGGGUGAUCGGCCACACUGGGACUGAGACACGGCCCAGACUCCUACGGGAGGCAGCAGUAGGGAAUCUUCCGCAAUGGACGAAAGUCUGACGGAGCAACGCCGCGUGAGUGAUGAAGGUUUUCGGAUCGUAAAGCUCUGUUGUUAGGGAAGAACAAGUGCCGUUCAAAUAGGGCGGCACCUUGACGGUACCUAACCAGAAAGCCACGGCUAACUACGUGCCAGCAGCCGCGGUAAUACGUAGGUGGCAAGCGUUGUCCGGAAUUAUUGGGCGUAAAGGGCUCGCAGGCGGUUUCUUAAGUCUGAUGUGAAAGCCCCCGGCUCAACCGGGGAGGGUCAUUGGAAACUGGGGAACUUGAGUGCAGAAGAGGAGAGUGGAAUUCCACGUGUAGCGGUGAAAUGCGUAGAGAUGUGGAGGAACACCAGUGGCGAACGCGACUCUCUGGUCUGU